rnacentral:rRNA from 1 species
AGUGAACGCUGGCGGUAGGCCUAACACAUGCAAGUCGAACGGCAGCACAGUAAGAGCUUGCUCUUACGGGUGGCGAGUGGCGGAUGGGUGAGGAAUACAUCGGAAUCUACUUUUUCGUGGGGGAUAACGUAGGGAAACUUACGCUAAUACCGCAUAUGACCUACGGGUGAAAGCAGGGGAUCUUCGGACCUUGCGCGAUUGUAUGAGCCGAUGUCGGAUUAGCUAGUUGGCUGGGUAAAGGCCCACCAAGGCGACGAUCCGUAGCUGGUCUGAGAGCGUGAUCGGCCACACUGGAACUGAGACACGGUCCUGACUCCUACGGGAGGCAGCAGUGGGGAAUAUUGGACAAUGGGCGCAAUCCUGAUCCAGCCAUACCGCGUCUGUGAGGAAGGCCUUCGGGUUGUAAAGCCCUUUUGUUGGGAAAGAAAAGCAGCAGGUUGAAACCCCGCUGUUCUGACGGUACCCAAAGAAUAAGCACCGGCUAACUUCGUG